rnacentral:rRNA from 1 species
CGCGCCCUAAAGCAAAUAGCGCGCAACUUAUGAAUUAAAUCACUAACGUCAGGUCAAAGUGCAGCCAAUGGCGGGGCAGAUGAUGGGUUACAACCUAAACAAAGACACAAAACUAGUAAUAAAAAACUUAUAAAAGGUGGACUUGGCCGUAAUUAAAAUAAAAUAUUGAAAUGAAGAUGAAUCUGAAACAUGCACACAUCGCCCGUCACUCUCCCCCAAAGGGGAGAUAAGUCGUAACAAAGUAGGUGUAAUGGAAAUUGUACCUGU